rnacentral:rRNA from 1 species
AACAGGAUUAGAUACCCUGGUAGUCCACGCCCUAAACGAUGUCUACUAGUUGUCGGGUCUUAAUUGACUUGGUAGCGCAGCUAACGCGUGAAGUAGACCGCCUGGGGAGUACGGUCGCAAGAUUAAAACUCAAAGGAAUUGACGGGGACCCGCACAAGCGGUGGAUGAUGUGGAUUAAUUCGAUGCAACGCGAAAAACCUUACCUACCCUUGACAUGGUCGGAAUCCCUGAGAGAUUGGGGAGUGCUCGAAAGAGAACCGAUACACAGGUGCUGCAUGGCUGUCGUCAGCUCGUGUCGUGAGAUGUUGGGUUAAGUCCCGCAACGAGCGCAACCCUUGUCAUUAGUUGCUACGAAAGGGCACUCUAAUGAGACUGCCGGUGACAAACCGGAGGAAGGUGGGGAUGACGUCAAGUCCUCAUGGCCCUUAUGGGUAGGGCUUCACACGUCAUACAAUGGUGCAUACAGAGGGCUGCCAACCCGCGAGGGGGAGCUAAUCCCAGAAAGUGCAUCGUAGUCCGGAUUGUAGUCUGCAACUCGACUACAUGAAGUUGGAAUCGCUAGUAAUCGCGGAUCAGCAUGUCGCGGUGAAUACGUUCCCGGGUCUUGUACACACCGCCCGUCACACCAUGGGAGCGGGUUUUACCAGAAGUAGGUAGCUUAACCGCAAGGAGGGCGCUUACCACGGUAGGAUUCGUGACUGGGGUGAAGUCGUAACAAGGUAACC